rnacentral:rRNA from 1 species
GGAGGGUGCAAGCGUUAUCCGGAAUCAUUGGGUUUAAAGGGUCCGCAGGCGGUCUUAUAAGUCAGUGGUGAAAGCCUACAGCUCAACUGUAGAACUGCCAUUGAUACUGUAAGACUUGAAUUCGAUCGAAGUGGGCGGAAUAUGACAUGUAGCGGUGGAAUGCUUAGAUAUGUCACAGAACACCGAUAGCGAAGGCAGCUCACUAGGUCUGGAUUGACGCUCAGGGACGAAAGCGUGGGGAGCAAACAGGAUUAGAUACCCUGGUAGUCCACGCCGUAAACUAUCAAUACUCGUUCUCAGCCCUUCAGGGGUUGGGGACCAAGCGAAAGUGAUAAGUAUUGCACCCGGGGAGUACGAUCGCAAGGUUG